UACGAAGGGGGCUAGCGUUGUUCGGAUUUACUGGGCGUAAAGCGCACGUAGGCGGAUCGAUCAGUCAGGGGUGAAAUCCCAGAGCUCAACUCCGGAACUGCCUUUGAUACUGUCGAUCUGGAGUAUGGAAGAGGUGAGUGGAAUUCCGAGUGUAGAGGUGAAAUUCGUAGAUAUUCGGAGGAACACCAGUGGCGAAGGCGGCUCACUGGUCCGGUACUGACGCUGAGGUGCGAAAGCGUGGGGAGCAAACAGG
rnacentral:rRNA from 1 species